GAGCGCAACUGACGCUCAUGCUCGAAAGUGCGGGUAUCGAACAGGAUUAGAUACCCUGGUAGUCCGCACGGUAAACGAUGGAUGCCCGCUAUUUGUCCAUUAGGAUAAGUGGCCAAGUGAAAACGUUAAGCAUCCCACCUGGGGAGUACGCCGGCAACGGUGAAACUCAAAGGAAUUGACGGGGGCCCGCACAAGCGGAGGAACAUGUGGUUUAAUUCGAUGAUACGCGAGGAACCUUACCCGGGCUUGAAUUGUGAGAGAAGGAUCCAGAGAUGGUGACGCCCUUCGGGGCUCUCAUGAAGGUGCUGCAUGGUUGUCGUCAGCUCGUGCCGUGAGGUGUCGGCUUAAGUGCCAUAACGAGCGCAACCCCUCUCUUCAGUUGCCAUCAGGUUAAGCUGGGCACUCUGGAGACACUGCCACCGUAAGGUGUGAGGAAGGUGGGGAUGACGUCAAAUCAGCACGGCCCUUACGUCCGGGGCUACACACGUGUUACAAUGGGUGGUACAGAGAGUUGGGUGCCCGCAAGGUCACUCUAAUCAAUAAAUCCAUCCUCAGUUCGGACUGGGGUCUGCAACCCGACCCCACGAAGCUGGAUUCGCUA
rnacentral:rRNA from 1 species